rnacentral:rRNA from 1 species
CCUANGGGGGGCUGCAGUGGGGAAUAUUGGACAAUGGGCGAAAGCCUGAUCCAGCAAUGCCGCGUGUGUGAAGAAGGCCUUCGGGUUGUAAAGCACUUUAGUGGGGGAAGAAAGGUGCGCAAGCAUUUUGACGGUACCCCAAGAAUAAGCACCGGCUAACUCUGUGCCAGCAGCCGCGGUAAUACAGAGGGUGCGAGCGUUAAUCGGAAUGACUGGGCGUAAAGGGCGCGUAGGUGGAUGUGUGUGUUGGAUGUGAAAGCCCCGGGCUUAACCUGGGAAUUGCAUACAAAACUGCACAUCUAGAGUAGAGCAGAGGUAAGUGGAAUUUCCGGAGUAGCGGUGAAAUGCGUAGAUACCGGAAGGAACACCAGUGGCGAAGGCGACUUACUGGGCUCAAACUGACACUGAGGCGCGAAAGCGUGGGGAGCAAACAGGAUUAGAUACCCCUNUANUC